rnacentral:rRNA from 1 species
AGCGACCCCAGGUCAGGCGGGACUACCCGCUGAGUUUAAGCAUAUCAAUAAGUGGUGGAAAAGAAAUUUACAAGGAUUCCCUUAGUAACUACGAGCGAACUGGGAAAUGCCCAGCUUGGGAAUCGGGAGCUUACGGCGUCCGAAUUGUAGUCUGGAGAAGCGUCCUCAGCGGCGGACCGAGCUCAAGUCCAAUGAAAGGAGGUGCCGGAGAGGGUGAGAGCCUCGUCGUGCUCGGACCCUGUCGCUUCACGAGGCGCUGUCUACGAGUCGGGUUGUUUGGUAAUGCAGCUCAAAUCAGGCGGUAAAUUCCGCCCAAGGCUAAAUAUUGGCAAGAGACCGAUAGAAAACAAGUACCGCGAGGGAAAGAUGAAAAGGACUUUGAGAAAAGAGUCAAAGAGUACUUGAAAUUGUCAGGAGGGAAGCGGAUGGGGCCCGACGAUGCGUCCAGGUCGGAUGUGGAACGGCGAUGAGCCGGUCUGCCAAUCGACUCGGGGUGUGGACCGAGGCGGUUUGGGGCGGCGUCGCAAGCCCAAAUCUUUUGUUGUGCUCGCGGAGACGUCGUCGCCCCGAUCGUUGCUGGCAGCGCGCGCCCUUGGCGCGCUUUGGUAUCAGCGCGCUCCAAGUUUUGGCCUGCGGGCUCCCCAUUGGGCCCGUCUUGAAACACGGACCAAGGAGUCUGACAUGUGUGCAAGUCAACGGGCAAGAAAACUAGUGAGGUGCAAGGAAGCUGAGUGGCGGGAUCCCCUUGAGGGUUGCACCGCCGACCGACUUGAUCUUCUGAGAAGGGUUCGAGUGUGAGCAUGCCUGUCGGGACCCGAAAGAUGGUGAACUAUGCCUGAGCGGGGAGAAGCUAGAGGAAACUCUAGUGGAGGACCGCAGCGAUACUGACGUGCAAAUCGUUCGUCUGACUUGGGUAUAGGGGCGAAAGACUAAUCGAACCGUCUAGUAGUUGGUUCCCUCCGAAGUUUCCCUCAGGAUAGCUGGAGCCCAUGGGCGAGUUCUAUUGGGUAAAGCCAAUGAUUUGAGGCAUUUGGGGCGCAACGCCCUCGACCUAUUCUGAAACUUUAAAUAGGUAAGAUGGCACGGCUGCUUUGUUGAGCCGCGCCAUGGAAUCGAGAGCUCCAAGUGGGCCCUUUUUGUUAAGCAGAACUGGCGAUGCGGGAUGAACUGAAAGCCGGGUUACGGUGCCCAACUGUGCUCUUACCUAGAACCCACAAAGGGUGUUGGUCGAUUAGACAGCAAGACGGUGGUCAUGGAAGUUGAAAUCUGCUAAGGAGUGUGUAACAACUCACCUGCCAAAUCAACUAGCCCCGAAAAUAAAUGGCGCUGAAGCGCGCGACCUAUUCCCAGCCGUCGGGGCAAGUACCAGGCCCCGAUGAGGGCGCGGCGGUCGCUGCAAAACCUAUUCCCGGCUGUCGGUGCAGAUCUUGGUGGUAGUAGAAAAUAUUCAAAUAAGAACUUUCAAGGCCGAAUAAACAACACUUGCACAUGGUUAGUAGAUCCUAAGAGAUAGGGCAAUCAUGUCUAACAGCGCCCAGCGCGCGAGCAUCAAAUGAGAAUUGGGUUAAAAUUCCUGAACCGGGACGUGGCGGCUGAUGGCAACGUUAGGGAGUCUGGAGACUUCGUCGGGGACCUCGGGAAGAGUUAUCUUUUCUAUUUAACAGCCUCCCACUCUUGAAAAGGCUCAGCUGCAGGUAGGGUCCAGCGGCUGGAAGAGCACCGCAUGUCGCGCGGUGUCCAGUAUGUUCUUGACGGCCCUUGAAAAUUCGGAGGACCGAGUGCCUCCCACGCCCGGUCGUACUCAUAACCGCAUCAGGUCUCCAAGGUGGACAGCCUCUGGUCGAUGGAACAAUGUAGGCAAGGGAAGUCGGCAAAAUGGAUCCAUAACCUCGGGAAGAGGAUUGGCUUUGAGCUCUUUCUGACGGUUUCUUCUCUGGUGAGUCAUAUCCGGCAAAACUCCGUCAACCCUUGAGUGCCCGAUCGGUGAGUCACAUCCGAGAGCAUCCAAGGUCUACCGAUUCCAACACUUUGAUUGCUCAAGUGUUUGAAUCGUCCGACCACAUCCCUCUUAAAUCCCAUCCCAUCUCCCGAGCUUUCAAAUUCCUCCACCGCCGAUUCCGGCCCACAUCUCUUCACCCGAGCCAUCCCUCUUUUCAUCCAAGCCAUCUCCAUAAAUUUCCUUCAGAUCCCCUACAUUUUCAUCCCAUUACACUUCCGCACCCCAACUCCUAAAUUCGCCCGAACCCAUUUUCCGACUGCCGUGCACGACACCUUACCCGGGUCACGUGUACACACAUUUCCGACCAUGGUGCGCCGCUCACACUUGGACGGCACAUCAUCUUGGUAUCAGAGCCAAGACUUCCUAAAAACCAUCUUUUUCUCUCUCAAAACCCCAAAUUUUUCUUUCGAACCCAUUCGGUCAUGAUGACUCGUAGCAGUGCGAUCCACAACACCUGCCGAGAUCAAGCCACCACGAGCGAGCAGACAAUGUUCUCCGAACAAUAAUCAAGAGCAAUUCGAUGCCAUCAACCAAAGGAUGGACGCAAUGCUGCAGUGGCUAGAAGAAAUGGCCAAACACAACAGAACCCACCUGGCUCGGCCCACUCCGCCCCCUAGACAGAGGCCCAGACACGGCAGACACUACCGAGCCCGCCCGCACGGAUCA